rnacentral:rRNA from 1 species
AUUGAACGCUGGCGGCAGGCCUAACACAUGCAAGUCGAGCGAUCGGCUGACGGGUGAGUAAUGUAUGGGGACUGCCCGAUAGAGGGGGAUAACUACUGGAAACGGUGGCUCAUACCGCAUACUGUCGGAUAACCCAUAUGGGAUUAGCUAGUAGGUAAGGUAAUGGCUUACCUAGGCGACGAUCCCUAGCUGGUCUGAGAGGAUGAUCAGCCAAACUGGGACUGGAACAGGGCCCAGAAUCGUACGGAGGCAGCAGUGGGGAAUAUUGCACAAUGGGGGAAAGCCGGAUGCAGCCAGGCCGAGUGUAUGAAGAAGGCCCUAGGGUUGUAAAGUACUUUCAGUCGGGAGGCGUUGCCGACAGAAGAAGCACAGGCUAACUCCGUGCCAGCAGCCGCGGGAAUUC